rnacentral:rRNA from 1 species
GACGAACGCUGGCGGCGUGCUUAACACAUGCAAGUCGAACGGAAAGGCCCUGCUUUUGUGGGGUGCUCGAGUGGCGAACGGGUGAGUAACACGUGAGUAACCUGCCCUUGACUUUGGGAUAACUUCAGGAAACUGGGGCUAAUACCGGAUAGGAGCUCCUGCUGCAUGGUGGGGGUUGGAAAGUUUCGGCGGUUGGGGAUAGACUCGCGGCUUAUCAGCUUGUUGGUGGGGUAGUGGCUUACCAAGGCUUUGACGGGUAGCCGGCCUGAGAGGGUGACCGGCCACAUUGGGACUGAGAUACGGCCCAGACUCCUACGGGAGGCAGCAGUGGGGAAUAUUGCACAAUGGGCGGAAGCCUGAUGCAGCAACGCCGCGUGCGGGAUGACGGCCUUCGGGUUGUAAACCGCUUUCGCCUGUGACGAAGCGUGAGUGACGGUAAUGGGUAAAGAAGCACCGGCUAACUACGUGCCAGCAGCCGCGGUGAUACGUAGGGUGCGAGCGUUGUCCGGAUUUAUUGGGCGUAAAGGGCUCGUAGGUGGUUGAUCGCGUCGGAAGUGUAAUCUUGGGGCUUAACCCUGAGCGUGCUUUCGAUACGGGUUGACUUGAGGAAGGUAGGGGAGAAUGGAAUUCCUGGUGGAGCGGUGGAAUGCGCAGAUAUCAGGGGGAACACCAGUGGCGAAGGCGGUUCUCUGGGCCUUUCCUGACGCUGAGGAGCGAAAGCGUGGGGAGCGAACAGGCUUAGAUACCCUGGUAGUCCACGCUGUAAACGGUGGGUACUAGGUGUGGGGUCCAUUCCACGGGUUCCGUGCCGUAGCUAACGCUUUAAGUACCCCGCCUGGGGAGUACGGCCGCAAGGCUAAAACUCAAAGGAAUUGACGGGGCCCCGCACAAGCGGCGGAGCAUGCGGAUUAAUUCGAUGCAACGCGUAGAACCUUACCUGGGUUUGACAUGGAUCGGGAGCGCUCAGAGAUGGGUGUGCCUCUUUUGGGGUCGGUUCACAGGUGGUGCAUGGCUGUCGUCAGCUCGUGUCGUGAGAUGUUGGGUUAAGUCCCGCAACGAGCGCAACCCUUGUUCACUGUUGCCAGCACGUUAUGGUGGGGACUCAGUGGAGACCGCCGGGGUCAGCUCGGAGGAAGGUGGGGAUGACGUCAAGUCAUCAUGCCCCUUAUGUCCAGGGCUUCACGCAUGCUACAAUGGCUGGUACAGAGAGUGGCGAGCCUGUGAGGGUGAGCGAAUCUCGGAAAGCCGGUCUCAGUUCGGAUUGGGGUCUGCAACUCGACCUCAUGAAGUCGGAGUCGCUAGUAAUCGCAGAUCAGCAACGCUGCGGUGAAUACGUUCCCGGG